rnacentral:rRNA from 1 species
AACGUAGGUGGCGAGCGUUAUCCGGAUUUACUGGGCGUAAAGGGUGUGCAGGCGGGAGUGCAAGUGGUGUAUGAAAUCUCCAGGCUUAACCUGGAGGGGUUAUGCCAGACUGCAUUUCUAGAGGACGAGAGAGGGGCGUGGAAUUCCGGGUGUAGUGGUGAAAUUCGUAGAUAUUCGCAAGAACACCAGUGGCGAAGGCGGCUCACUGGCCCGGUACUGACGCUGAGGUGCGAAAGCCAGGGGAGCGAACAGG